rnacentral:lncRNA from 1 species
UUUUAGAGUGGCAUUCACUCACCUUUGGCUUUUCUUUGUAGCCACACGAAUAUGUUCUUGCUGAGGAUUUUGCAUUGUUCCUUCUAUUUUUAUUUUGUUUCUUGCUUUCCCUAAUUUUUGCAUGGACUGAUAUUUUGGAUUUUCAGUCCACCGGGAUGACCUAAUUUUUUCCUAAGUCACUUGUUUUCAUGUUCGAAUUAGCAGGCUUUUCUUUU